rnacentral:rRNA from 1 species
UACGUAGGGUGCGAGCGUUAAUCGGAAUUACUGGGCGUAAAGCGUGCGCAGGCGGUUCGUUGUGUCGGCGGUGAAAGCCCCGGGCUUAACCUGGGAAUGGCCGUUGAAACUGGCGAACUGGAGUGUGGCAGAGGGGGGUGGAAUUCCGCGUGUAGCAGUGAAAUGCGUAGAGAUGCGGAGGAACACCGAUGGCGAAGGCAGCCCCCUGGGCUGACACUGACGCUGAGGCACGAAAGCGUGGGGAGCAAACAGG